rnacentral:misc_RNA from 1 species
UACGAGAGCCUCGAGCGUUAUCCGGAAUCAUUGGGCGUAAAGGGUGUGUAGGUUGUUCUAUUAGUCUUACGUUAAAUCCCCCGGCUCAACCGGGGAAUCGCGAAAGAUACGGUAGAACUAGAAAGUGCGAGAGGUGUACGGAACUCUAAGUGUAGGGGUGAAAUCCGUUGAUAUUUAGGGGAACACCAAAAGCGAAAGCAGUACACUAGCGCAUGUUUGACACUGAGACACGAAAGCGUGGGUAGCGAAUGGG